AUUGAACGCUGGCGGCAUGCCUUACACAUGCAAGUCGAACGGUAACAGGUUAAGCUGACGAGUGGCGAACGGGUGAGUAAUGUAUCGGAACGUGCCCAGUCGUGGGGGAUAACUACUCGAAAGAGUGGCUAAUACCGCAUACGACCUGAGGGUGAAAGCGGGGGACCGUAAGGCCUCGCGCGAUUGGAGCGGCCGAUAUCAGAUUAACUAGUUGGUGGGGUAAAAGCCCACCAAGACGACGAUCUGUAGCUGGUCUGAGAGGACGACCAGCCACACUGGGACUGAGACACGGCCCAGACUCCUACGGGAGGCAGCAGUGGGGAAUUUUGGGCAAUGGACGCAAGUCUGAUCCAGCCAUGCCGCGUGCGGGAAGAAGGCCUUCGGGUUGUAAACCGCUUUUGUCAGGGAAGAAACGAGUUUCUCUAAUACAGAGACUUAAUGACGGUACCUGAAGAAUAAGCACCGGCUAACUACGUGCCAGCCGCCGCAGUAAUAC
rnacentral:rRNA from 1 species